UACGUAGGGUGCGAGCGUUAAUCGGAAUUACUGGGCGUAAAGCGUGCGCAGGCGGUUAUGUAAGACAGAUGUGAAAUCCCCGGGCUCAACCUGGGAACUGCAUUUGUGACUGCAUGGCUAGAGUACGGUAGAGGGGGAUGGAAUUCCGCGUGUGAGCAGUGAAAUGCGUAGAUAUGCGGAGGAACACCGAUGGACGAAGGCAAUCCCCGUGGACCUGAUACUGACGCUACAUGCACGAAAGCGUGGGGAGCAAACGAGGAUUAGAGUACCCGGGUAAGUCCG
rnacentral:rRNA from 1 species